rnacentral:rRNA from 1 species
CCUACGGGAGGCAGCAGUGGGGAAUAUUGGACAAUGGGCGAAAGCCUGAUCCAGCAAUUCCGCGUGUGUGAAGAAGGCCUUCGGGUUGUAAAGCACUUUAGUUGGGGAAGAAACAGCUUGGCCACACCAAGCCUUGACGGUACCCAAAGAAUAAGCACCGGCUAACUCUGUGCCAGCAGCCGCGGUAAUACAGAGGGUGCAAGCGUUAAUCGGAUUUACUGGGCGUAAAGGGUGCGUAGGUGGUUUUGUAAGUCGGAUGUGAAAGCCUGGGGCUCAACCUCAGAAUUGCACUCGAUACUGCAAGACUAGAGUUCGGUAGAGGGCGGCGGAAUUCCCGGUGUAGCGGUGAAAUGCGUAGAUAUCGGGAGGAACAUCAAUGGCGAAGGCAGCCGCCUGGGCCUGAACUGACACUGAGGCACGAAAGCGUGGGUAGCAAACAGGAUUAGAUACCCUGGUAGUCCACGCUGUAAACGANAGAGACUAGUACGUGUUCGUUUACGUAGUCGUGU